rnacentral:lncRNA from 1 species
UCAUCCAGGCAAGCAGUGGGUAGGGGAAGGGGGCAGCCAAGAGCAGCAGGGCCCCACAGCUCCUUCCCACUGCCCCCCCUUCCUCUAGACUUGAUUCGUCCGCCUAGGGUUAGGGUCAUGCCAGGCAGGGCCCAAGGCCAGUCCUGGGAGCUGGGGGUGCCUGUCUCACCCCCAGAGCCCAGAGCUGACACCUCUCCCAGUCCCUGCAGUGAAGGUAGCAGGGAAGAGGCAUGGAAGGGUGAGUGCCAGGCAGUGUUCAUCAAACCAGCUUCUGCACUGGGGACACCAGCUACCAGGCAGAGCCCCUCCUCCCAGUACCACCAGACUAGGCGUGAACAGGCGAUGCUGUGCUAGCAGGGACAGGGGACAGGACAGCUUGUUCGCCCUGUAGAGGAUGGGGCUCUGUGAGAGCAGAGAGUCAGCAGGGACCUGAGGCAGAGCUGCACAAAGGAAGAGCCCUAAAGGCAGAGGGGGACAGUGAGUGCCAGGGCCUGGGUGGGGGUGGGCAUGCCUGCCGGUAAGGGGACAUGGGCUGGCGGACAGCAAGGGCAGAGCCAGUGUAGGGCCUUCAGGCAGCAGGGAGGUGAUGGGACUCCAAGUGCAUGGUGAAGGCAGUGCCAAGGAAGGGCAGAGGGCUGAUCCCAGGCCCCGAGGGAGACACUGGGUAAGCCGCCAUCAGAGGUAGGGCAGGGACUCAGUGAGAGUCUGGAUUCGGGUGUCCAGAAUGUGCCACCAAACAAUAAUGUGCCUUUCUGAGGUGGGCCACCCCAGCUUUGGUCCUCUUGGCUGGCAUGCUCUUCUGUAGGUGAUUGCCAUGUCCUGCUCCAUCCUCAGGUGGGUCCAGGCAGGUUCGCACAGCACCCAGGGGCUCAGAUGGAGCAGGAAGCAGGAAGGGGCAGGCCUGGGUCAACACCUUGAGGGCAGCCUCCCUAGUGUCGGGGCCCAGGAGCAGGGGCCUCACUCUGCCUCCUCCUUCCUCGCCCACCCUCUCCGGCUCAGGCACUGCCAGCAUGGUGCCCAGCCCACGUGCCCAGGUGGGGCAUGCCUCUCACGAGCUCAGAGCUGAGGCUGG